CCCCAGCACACGGCAGGACACAUAGUGGGCAAACAGUACAAAAUGGCGAUUCUCACAGCCCAUUUUACAGGAAGGCCAGACCUGCAGCCUGUAAAGAUGGAAAGUGAUUUCCUGAAGGACACGAUCCAGUAAAACGCUCAACCCAAGUCUUGCUAUCUUCAGACUCGGGGCUUUUCACUUGGCAGAGGGUGCUUAUGAACACGCCUGUAUGGUUUACAUAUAGGGUGUUCAUAUAGAUGGCCUCAAGUGGCCUUCGUAAUAGCCUGGUGAGGGAGGGACACCAUUUUUUAACUUAACGAAUAAGGGAACAGUCUCAGAUGUCAGGCAAUUUGUCAGACCAACCAGCCCCAAACAAGGGCUUUGCAGAGCUGUGUUUAAAUGUUAGUACCGUCCCUUCUUGCUCCUGAUUUAACUGAGGGCCAGAGGGGAGAAAAGUGGAGACCGAAGGAAGUUAAAGGGCGCUCCAGCAAACUAGAUCUACUUUACAGUCGUGUCCUGACACUAAUAAGCUGUAAAUGGCAUUCACCUGCGGACAAAUAAAGUGACCGCACUAGAGAUGCUGACUUAGUUAGCUGCCAGCGGGAGCGAUAUGCAAACUACUUAGCCAGCAAGGCAGAAAGGAGCUCCCCCGCCCUACGACCCUGGAGCUCAUGGGGUGCAAGUUUCUCCCUCUUCCAGACACUUCCAUCUUCUGUUCAUUUUAUACUGUGUCUGAAUGAAGAAGUAGAGGGGAUACAAACGGAGGAAAAUGAAAUCAGUGCUCAGGCCUGGAUUGGUGGAGACGGGAGGUGCCAUGGUUAGCUCGGACAAAGGCGGAACAUUCGGGCAAGGUGAACAUUCCCUGCCCACUGGGGCAGGUUUGCCCUAAAGAAAGUGAGAAAGGAUAUUGCCCCCUCUGUGGCUAAUGGGGUAAAAAAGGGUACUUCCUUAGCUCUGCAGCUUGUACCAUCACAUAAAUGGAAACAGACAGAAUUACCAUUGAUACAAAUUAAAAACAAAUAAAAAGGGUACACAGAGCUGAUUCUGAGAGUUCAAACUCCAUUACCCGCUGAUUUACUGAGCAGUGACCUGUGAUUGUGGGGGGAGGGCGGGAGGAGUGAG
rnacentral:lncRNA from 1 species